rnacentral:rRNA from 1 species
GUAACAUUUCUAGCUUGCUAGAAGAUGACGAGUGGCGGACGGGUGAGUAAUGCUUGGGAACUUGCCUUUGCGAGGGGGAUAACAGUUGGAAACGACUGCUAAUACCGCAUAAUGUCUUCGGACCAAACGGGGCUUCGGCUCCGGCGCAAAGAGAGGCCCAAGUGAGAUUAGCUAGUUGGUAAGGUAACGGCUUACCAAGGCGACGAUCUCUAGCUGUUCUGAGAGGAAGAUCAGCCACACUGGGACUGAGACACGGCCCAGACUCCUACGGGAGGCAGCAGUGGGGAAUAUUGCACAAUGGGGGAAACCCUGAUGCAGCCAUGCCGCGUGUGUGAAGAAGGCCUUCGGGUUGUAAAGCACUUUCAGUUGUGAGGAAAAGUUAGUAGUUAAUACCUGCUAGCCGUGACGUUAACAACAGAAGAAGCACCGGCUAACUCCGUGCCAGCAGCCGCGGUAAUACGGAGGGUGCGAGCGUUAAUCGGAAUUACUGGGCGUAAAGCGCACGCAGGCGGUUUGUUAAGCUAGAUGUGAAAGCCCCGGGCUCAACCUGGGAUGGUCAUUUAGAACUGGCAGACUAGAGUCUUGGAGAGGGGAGUGGAAUUCCAGGUGUAGCGGUGAAAUGCGUAGAUAUCUGGAGGAACAUCAGUGGCGAAGGCGACUCCCUGGCCAAAGACUGACGCUCAUGUGCGAAAGUGUGGGUAGCGAACAGGAUUAGAUACCCUGGUAGUCCACACCGUAAACGCUGUCUACUAGCUGUGUGUGCCUUUAAGGCGUGCGUAGCGAAGCUAACGCGCUAAGUAGACCGCCUGGGGGAGUACGGCCGCAAGGUUAAAACUCAAAUGAAUUGACGGGGGCCNCGCACAAGCGGUGGAGCAUGUGGUUUAAAUUCGAUGCAACGCGAAGAAC